rnacentral:tRNA from 1 species
CGAUUUUAUUUAUCAUCAUGAUAAAAAACUCGCCGGGAUAGCUCAGU